UACGUAGGGUGCGAGCGUUGUCCGGAAUUAUUGGGCGUAAAGAGCUCGUAGGCGGUGUGUCGCGUCGGUCGUGAAAACUUUCAGCUUAACUGGGAGCUUGCGGUCGAUACGGGCAUCACUGGAGUUCGGCAGGGGAGACUGGAAUUCACGGUGUAGCAGUGAAAUGCGUAGAUAUCGUGAGGAAGACCAGUGGCGAAGGCGGGUCUCUGGACAGUUCCUGACGCUGAGGCGCGAAGGCCAGGGGAGCAAACGGG
rnacentral:rRNA from 1 species